UACGAAGGGGGCUAGCGUUGUUCGGAAUUACUGGGCGUAAAGGGUUCGUAGGCGGUGCGGCAAGUUGGGAGUGAAAUCUCUGGGCUUAACUCAGGGGCUGCUUUCAAAACUGCCGCGCUCGAGUGCGAGAGAGGUCAGUGGAAUUGCAGGUGUAGCGGUGAAAUGCGUAGAUAUCUGCAGGAACACCCGUGGCGAAGGCGGCUGACUGGAUCGCAACUGACGCUGAGGAACGAAAGCUAGGGGAGCAAACAGG
rnacentral:rRNA from 1 species